GAUGAACGCUGGCGGCGUGCUUAACACAUGCAAGUCGAACGGAACUACUCCAAUGAGAGUCUUCGGAAAGGAUUUGGUUUAGUUUAGUGGCGGACGGGUGAGUAACGCGUGGGUAACCUGCCCUCUACAGGGGGAUAACAGUUGGAAACGACUGUUAAUACCGCAUAAGCGCACAGGAGCGCAUGCUCCGGUGUGAAAAACUCCGGUGGUAUAGGAUGGACCCGCGUCUGAUUAGCUGGUUGGCGGGGUAACGGCCCACCAAGGCGACGAUCAGUAGCCGGCAUGAGAGGGUGAGCCGCCACACUGACGCGGAGCCACGGCCCAGACUCCUACGGGAGGCAGCAGUGGGGGAUAUUGCAAAAUGGGGGAAGCCCUGAUGCAGCGACGCCGCGUGAGCGAAGAAGUAUCUCGGUAUGUAAAGCUCUAUCAGCAGUGAAGAUAAUGACGGUACCUGACGAAGAAGCCCCGGCUAACUACGUG
rnacentral:rRNA from 1 species